AAAGGUUUAGGAAUGAAACCGAAGGAUUAAAUUAUUCAGAAAUUAUUCCACAAAUUCAAAAUAAAUAUAUUUCUUUCUGUAAGCAAGUAUAGUAACAUUGUAGUAUAAAUAAGAGAGAAACCUGUUGAAUCUGAACAUAACAAAGGGUACCUAGAAAGGAGAAAACAAGUGUUACUUGCGCUGAUGUUGUUUGCUGCGCUCAUGGACAUAAAUUGAGGUGGCCUGAACUGUUGGGUAAAAAUGGAGCAGCGGCUAAAGCAACAAUCGAAAAAGAAAAUCCAGAAGUAACAGCUGAAAUACUGACAUCAGGAAGAGUUGGACCUCCUAAUUUUUGCUGCAAUCGUGUUUUUGUAAUUGUCGACACUCAUGGCAAUGUAACCAAUAUCCCUACUAUUGGUUGAGUUCACACAAUCCCACUAUUUCAUCAUCUCAACCUUAUUUAUGAAUACAUUAUAAUAAUGAAAUUUUUCAAUAAUAAAAGGUUUCUUUUUCCAA